GGAGAGGGGGAGCGGCCCGGGAGGAGGGCUCAGGCGGCUCGGCUUGUCGUUCUGCCUCUGGCGUAGCUGAGCCCGGGGAAGCCCCGCAACCGCCCUGCGCCGUUCAUGACCAAAAAGGAGACCCAGGAGCUUUAAGCAUCCCCAUUUACAAGAUCCAUUCAUGACCACAAAGUAGGCCCAGACGGCAAGGACCUUAAGGAGGUUGUGGUUCCAUAGAAGGGUUGUUGGAGUUAUGGUUAUAAGUGCAGACGGCACUCCAAUUAAAAAAAACCUAUUGUACCCUGCAACAGUUCAAUAUGCAAAGCAUCUUCAUCACCUUAUAGAACUAGCACAGUACGCUGUGAAAGAAUUUAAUCCUCAAGAUGCCCUAAAUCUUCUUCGGAUUGCUACAGAGAAAUAUGAAAUCCUGCUAAGGAAUAUCUUCUUGUCGUUCUUCAGGAUCCAUAUGACUAGACCUUCUGCAGUAGUAAUCUUGCAUUCACGAAACUAUACUUUGAAAAGGCUCAAGUUUUCAUUGUGGUCCUUACUGAAUUUACUAAUGUACUGAGCUUGUCUUUAUUAAAACUGUUUCUAGCACAGCUUCUCAGUUUUUGUUUCUGGUUGAAUUUUAGAACUGUGCUUUAGCAAGAUAUACACAGAUCAAAAUCUGAUGUGAGUUGCCAAGCUUAAUGACUAAUGUAAUAAAAAUGAAUAUGUGAAACAUG